ensembl:lncRNA
GUCAAUUAAAAUUUGUUUAAAACAAGAAAAUAAAACAAAAGCCAAUAUUAUCUAUUCCUAUCAAAAUCUGUAAGAAAACAAAAAUGCUUAAUUUUUAUUGUUAAUUUUAAACUACAGAUAAUCAAAAUAUGUAUUCAAAUUUGAAAUGAAUUUAGCAUAUUUAAACAAAAUGACUAUAAAAUUGGGGAAAAUUAUGGGGUACAUUCCUGAGUACCAUAGCAACAGAACUUGGAGAACAAAGCUUUGGAAUGUCCUUUAGCUAAGGAUAGUCUAGUUUAUUUGGAACAUAGAAAUCUGAUAAUUAAUAAAAUAUCUAAUAUAAAUUAUUUACAUCAAAAAUCUUGAAUGAGAUUUGAGAAUCUGGUGAGAAAAUUAAAGGGAAUAAGAUUUAACUUCUCACUUGAAGGAACUGUUAACUUCCAUUAAUUAAAAAAACAAUCCUAUGGUUCGAAAUUGUUUCAAAUAUGUUACCAUGAAGAUCGACUUUCCAACAAGAAGAGCCUCUUAAGGGUGGUAUAACAGUACAUAAAGAAAUAAUCAUACGUGGUAUAAAUAUUGUUGGUGAUCAGAAUAUUGCUCUCAUUAAAAAUAAACAUUGCCUUUUAAUUAUCAAAGCAAAGUCCCUUUUAUUUACCCUUAUUUUUUUUAGAUUUAUUUAUUUAUAUGAAAGAGUUACACAGAGAGAGAGGAGAGGCAGAGAGAGAGAGGUCUUCCAUCUGCUGGUUCACUCCCCAGUUGGCUGCAACAGCCAGAGUUGUGCCGAUCUGAAGCCAGGAGCCAGGAGCUUCUACCGGGUCUCCCAUGUGGGUGCAGGGGCCCAAGGACCUGGUCCAUCUUCCACUGCUUUCCCAGGCCAUGGGAUAGAGCUGGAUCAGAGCAGGAGCAGCCAGGACUCAAUCCAGCGCCCACAUGGGAUACUGGCAUGCAGGAGGCGGCUUCACCUGUUACAUAACAGCACAGGCCCCAUUAUUUAACUUUCUUUAACAAUAUUUAAUUUUAUUUUUAUUUGAAAACACAGGCAGAGAGCUUAACACCUGUUGGUUCAUGGUUCAUUCCUCAUAUGCCAGUAACAGUUUUGGUUGGGUUAGACCAAAACUAGGAAGAGAACUCAAACAGGGUCUCAUACUUGGGUGGCAAGAAUCUGAGUACUCCAGCCAUCCCCUACUGCUUCCCAGGGUUUGCCUUAUUAUAAAACUAGAAUAAGACCCAGAGCUGUUCUCAAACACAGGCUCUCAAAUAAGUGAUGCAGAUGUCCCAAUUGAUAUCUUCAUUGCUUUGCCAAAUACCUGUCCCUUAUUUCUCUAUAUAAAAUAUCUCUAUGAAAGUGUUUGGUCUAGCAUUUAAGAUACCUGCAUCCAAUACUGGUUUGCAUGAAAUGUCUGGAUUGCAUGCCAAACUCUCACUCCUAACUCCAGCCUCCUGCAGGUGCAGACCCUGGACGGCAGUGGUGAUGAUCCAGAUAAUUAGGUUUCUGCCACCCAUGUGAGAAAAUUGAAUUGAGUUCCAGCUCUCAGCUUCAGCCACUCUAGACACAGGUGCUUGUGACAUGAACCAGCAUAUAGGAACUUUCUCUUUGUCUUUGUUUUCUGUCUCUCUUCCUUCUUUUUCCUUCAAAACACCAAGCUUCCCUCUCUCCAUGUUGAGAAUCACAAUAUUACCCAUUUUCUUCAGUACAUUGAUUUCUUUUGUUUAAAGUUGGUAGUUUUUGUGAUUCUGUUAUUGAUCCUCUUAUUUUAUUUCAGCCAUCUGUUUCCCUUGCAUAAUUCAAAUUCUUUUAUUAUCAUAAUUUCAUUUUUCUACAAUUAUCAAUAGAUCAGUUAUUCUUGUCUCACUGUUCUCAUAUAUUUGCAUAUUAGUGUAUAUUUAUAAAUUUUUUUUAAAACUUACUUAUUUUGAAAGCCAGAAUUACAGAGAGAAAGGAGAGACAAAGAAAGAUCUUCCAACCACUGAUUCAUUUCCCAAAUGGUCACAACA